rnacentral:rRNA from 1 species
CCUACGGGAGGCAGCAGUGAGGAAUAUUGGACAAUGGGCGCAAGCCUGAUCCAGCCAUGCCGCGUGCAGGAAGAAGCAUCUAUGGUGUGUAAACUGCUUUUGUACAGGAAGAAACACUCCCUCGUGAGGGAGCUUGACGGUACUGUAAGAAUAAGGACCGGCUAACUCCGUGCCAGCAGCCGCGGUAAUACGGAGGGUCCGAGCGUUAUCCGGAAUCAUUGGGUUUAAAGGGUCCGUAGGCGGUUUAAUAAGUCAGUGGUGAAAUCUGGUCGCUCAACGGUCAAACGGCCAUUGAUACUGUUAGACUUGAAUUAUAAGGAAGUAACUAGAAUAUGUAGUGUAGCGGUGAAAUGCUUAGAUAUUACAUGGAAUACCAAUUGCGAAGGCAGGUUACUACUUAUGGAUUGACGCUGAUGGACGAAAGCGUGGGGAGCGAACAGGAUUAGAUACCCUGGUAGUCCACGCCGUAAACGAUGGAUACUAGCUGUUCGGAGNAUNUGAGUGGNGUAGACGAAGUAGAGUAAGUAAGUACCACCGUCGGGAGGUACGGUUCGGUCGAAGAAAGUUAAGUAAACGUUAAAAGUUAAGUAAGUUAGUUACGGCGUGAGACGUUGCCGACGGACGACGACGAGGGGAGGAGGAG